ACCGAAUAGAUACCCAGGUAGUCCACGCCCUAAACUAUGCGAACUGGAUGUUGGGUACAUUACGGUACUCAGUGUCGAAAGCUAAACGCGUUAAGUUCGCCGCCUGGGGUAGUACGGUCGCAAGACUGAAACUCAAAGGAAUUGACGGGGGCCCGCACAAGCGGUGGAGUAUGUGGUUUAAUUCGAUGCAACGCGAAGAACCUUACCUGGCCUUGACAUCUGUCGAAUCCUGCAGAGAUGCGGGAGUGCCGCAAGGAACGACAAGACAGGUGCUGCAUGGCUGUCGUCAGCUCGUGUCGUGAGAUGUU
rnacentral:rRNA from 1 species